GAUGAACGCUGGCGGCGUGCCUAACACAUGCAAGUCGAGCGAACAGACGCUGCUUUUGCUCCUUUCUCGUUUGCGGCGGGCGGGUGAGUCACAUGUGUAUACCCUCCCUUUCUUUCUGAUAUCUUUUCGGGAAUCCGGAUAUUAUCUCGUAUAAUAUCUUGCACCGUGUGGUUCUUUAGUGAUUGUCGGUUUUGCUGUCACUUAUCGCUGCUUCCGGGCUUCAUUAGCUAGUUGUUAGGGUAACGGCUUACCAAGGCUACGAUGCGUAGCCGACGGGAGAGAGUGAUAGGCCACACUGGAAGUGAAACACGGUCCAGACUCCUACGGGAGGCAGCAGUAGGGAAUCUGCGGCAAAGGGCGAAAGCAUGACGGAGCAACGCCGCGUGAGUGAUGAAGGUCUUCGGAUCGUAAAGCUCUGUUAAUAGGGAGGAACAGAUGUGGAAGGAAAAAUGGACGUCGUGACGGUACCGGAUCAAAAAGCAACGGCUAACUACGUG
rnacentral:rRNA from 1 species